AAAUAAGAGGAAAAAUUUGAACUGAUUGCAACCUCUAUUCCGCUCAUUACUAUUUAGUAAGAGUUUGAAUAAAAAAAUGCUAAAGCAGUACUU
rfam:Nematostella vectensis strain CH2 x CH6 NEMVEscaffold_9069_Cont55445, whole genome shotgun sequence.